CAAGUCAUUUUUUUUUUUUGACAGAAAUACACUUGCUCGUAUCGAUAUACGCCAAUACUCCGAGGAGUUUCUUUCAUUCAAAAAAGCUUAUCAUCUAACCGAAAGACAUGAAAAUGUCUCCGGAAGCUUAGACAAUAAGACCUUAAUGUCCGAAAAGAAAUCGUCCCAAUUUGUAAGACCACGCCACCUGAAACAAAUACGAUCCAUUAAUAACAAGAAAAUUAAUAAUAAUAAAUUUAAUAAUUAAAAUCAGUAUAGAUUAUCAAAAAAUGGUACAAGUAGAAGAAAUGAUAUAUAUAAAAUAUUUUGACAAAAAGAAGAUAAAAUAAGAAAGAAAACAGAAUAAAAAAUAUAUCUAACCAAAGGGAGACCCUUUGGCUAGAUAUAUAACAAAAUAAAUAAUUACUAAGAAUAAUUAAUAAAAUGUAUUAAAAUAAAACUAUAAUUUUCAAAAAAUAUCUAAUAUUUUAAAUAAAAAAUUAAAUUAAAAUUAAUAAACAAGCCAACAAAAUGGCACCAAAUUGCCGAUUAUUAGGCCAAGAAUAUACGCCAUCAAUUAUGGCCACCCAUAUACGGUACGAACAAAACCAUGAAUCAAGACUGCAAAUAAAUAUACACCGGUUAACAAAUUGCAUUAAACUCUAAUCAAUGAGAAUUAAAGCAUUUAGAGCAUAUAUUUAAAAGCAAUUACUCGAGAAAAAAUAAAAUUCAAGAUUAGCAACAAUCAAGUGAGUCAAAAUGGUAAACAAGCCAUAAAAAUGGCAUCCAAACUUGAACAAAACCAUUAAAGGCAUAAUAAAGUCAUAAUUAAUGACUCCCAUAAAUUGUAAUAAAUAUUCAUAAAGAAUAUCCCUCCGAUUACAAUCACAAUUUAAAAGUAACUGUUCUAUUUAAAGAAACAAAUAAUGAAUAGUCAAUAAAAGAGAAACCCGUAACUAAGGCCAGUCCAAUUUACAAAUAAAUUAUUGCCUAAAAAUCAACCAAUCAUAAUAAUUAUGGAUUGAAAAACGUAACGGAUUCGACCUUCAUUACAUUCAUUAUAACAAACACUAGACCACCAGCACUGCUACCGACAAAAAUGUAAAAAUCACAUAGAUCAAUAUCCCAGAGUAACAAGCAUCAACACUUCAACAGAGAUCUUAUAAGAAUGAAACCUUUCUCAGAGGGUAGUAAAGUCAAAUUAAAAUUCAGAAACCAAGCCUGAGAAUAUGUAAAAGUCUUAAACUUAACCUACUAAACAACAUCCACAUCCACUCAACGAUUGCACAACCAAUUCACAGCAAUGACAAGAAACCAACAAGACUAGACUAUAAUCAUCAAUAUAUAACACACAUAGAUGGAUAGAAUACACACAUAACACACAUAAUAUACAAUUAUACAUAAAAGAUGCACAAAAAAAGAAAUUUUGAAUACAAAAAACACAUAACAAAAACCCAUAAUAAACUCAUUAAAAUCAACAGGAAAACCAUGAAAAGAUUGUACCUUGAUCAUGAUCAAACAUAUAAAUCCACUUACAAGGUCAGCAGAUGGAUCUAUGGUCAAAAUCUUGACAAAUCAAAAUGAGACCACCCCGCCCUAGAGUACCCGCCCACGAGAUAAUCAGAGUACCGCACCGUCGUGGUGCCGAGGAGAGAGGCAGAGUCGCCGGGAUGGUGCCGAUCGGCGUCCAGACAUCUAUGAUCUUUAUGUCUGGCUUCAACGGCCAUGAAAGUAGUGAUUCGAUGUAGUGGAGAGAAGAAUAAAGAGAGGAUACUUGACUAUGUUAGUCCAGAAGAGGAGAUUAGUUAUUCUCCCAAGUCAUUUAUUAUAAUAGAAGACAAGCAUUUUGAGGAGUUUAGUUUACUAAACCAAUACUAUGGGGCCCG
rnacentral:lncRNA from 1 species